UUCUUGAGUAGCUGCAGAAUUGGCGGCUCCUCCAAAAGGGCUCAGCUCCAUGAGUAAGUAGGUAAGUAAGUAAUGACAAGACAUAGCUUUUAACACCAUUGGGGCUUCACUGACUUGCAUAUCAUAAAUGGUUAUGUCUGAGGUUACUUGUUCAUUCUUCUUGGUUUCUUCCACUGAAUUCCAGGAUGGUACUAUCUCCUUCCAAAUCCGUAUGUACUCAGAAUUCAGGUUAUAUAACUUAAGCAGUUGAAACAACAUUGUUCUGUCUUUCAAGUUGCGACUUUCAGGUGGUACUGUGCACUUUUUUUUUUUGCCUGUUUAUUCAAGCUGCUUGUCUAACCUCUCUUGGCCCCUUAUGUUUUACUAUCCUCCAGUAUGCAUUAGAAGUAUACCAUUUUACUUGCGUAAUGUUGUUCCUUACAUAAUGUAUCUCUUUCUGUUUUCGUGAAGAUAAUGUUAUUCUUUCUAACAAAGUAAUGUGUUCGCAAUAAUAUUAUCAUGGUGUGUGCAGGUUGUGUCACUGAUAACACAAAAACUUUUCAAGUUUGGCCCUUCUAACCCCAUGAGUAAUGGAACAUGAUGCAAUUCUGAAACGGCUUUCACUUACUUCUGGAAGACCUGUCACUGCAUUGUCUUUAGUGGUUGCUUUUCUAGAUCCUGCUAUGCAAACAUUAGUUCUUGGAUGGGGUAUCAAGCAACUAUGAGCCCUCUUGUUUUCACAGGGGUAUUCAAACAUCCAUACAUAUUCUGUUGGAAAGAUUUAAACCCAAGUCAAUCAUCAGUUAACUUUGUAACUUAACUGUAUGAACUGAUCUUAUGCCUUGAACCUGUUGUUUUUAAGUUAUGGAUUGUUUGAAAAUCAAUUAAGUAAAAUGAUUUGAAGAGUUAAACUUGCAAGAAUUUGAAGUGAGGACAUAAACAUAUCCAUGUUGCAGGUGCAGUAGGCCCAUAACCAUGCUGUGUCUGUCUCUGUCAUUUUGGAACUCUGCCUAGGAGUUUGGUUAUUUCCUUUGUUAUUUAUGGCAACCACAUUUGUGUGGUACACAUUCUAUCUAUAGCCUCUGCAGGCAUUACUAGGAACUGCUAAUUACUCAAGUAAUCUUGUCUGCCGUGGCUUGUGAAAGAAGUGGAAUAUGCGUUUGUUUUCCUGCUUCCCUUUAUUCAGUUGUUUUUUUUUUAACUUUUUAUUGUAUUUGAAUUUGCAGGUUAAAAAUGAACCUAUCUGUCAGUGUCCCUACUCACAGUACCACAUUUCAACUCCUCAUUAUCUUUACGUGAGAAUUAAAAAUGAUUUUUUGUGUUUGUUUGGGAAUUCAGCCUGUUCAUGCACCAAGAUUUACAUGAUUAAAGGUACUUAUUUAAGAUUUUCAUAUGUGUUGUCUUUGUUUCAGUAAAUUUUAAAAUUAUAUAUGUCAUGCAUGGUCAGCCUUGUUCUGUGCUUGUUUUUUCAUAUAGACCUUAUUUAGUGACAUUGUAUAGUAUUUGAGAGGUACUUGAAUCUUUCUGUAUUAUGUAUGAGGUAUCACUUCUGGUCUGAAUGUAGUGGGUUUCGUGAAGACCAGUGGAAGAAACAGCCACUAUCUUUCAGUAGUUAAAGCUAACUAUGGCAUGUCAGGAAGAGAUAUUAUGUUACCAUGGAAAUAUACUAACAGAAAAAAAUUUAAAUAAAUAAAAAUAAGUAUUUAAAAGACUAGAAUCAAAUGAAAUAAGAGAAUGAUUGUGUGUAGUGACUUGGAAGGAGCUUGGGGGAGAGAAGUAGUUGUGGCCUAUUUCAGGUACAUUUCCCAGGAUUUUCCCAGAGAACCAGGAAAACCACAAACACCCUACUUGGGAUGGCUGAUUUACAGGUUUCUAAAAUCGUGAUAUUCACUUUGUUGUUAAUUGUCUGUGUUGCAGUGUAAUAACAAGAACCUUGCAGAUAUAUAUUGGUUACAUUAUCACUCAGAUAAUCUGUUUGAUUAGCAUUUCAUUAACAGCCGUGUAUAUUCUUGUUUGGGAGUUGGGGCAAUAAUAUAAUAUUGCAGAAUUAAUACACAAGAAACAUGUGUUUCUGAGUUGUAUGACCAUUGAUACAAUGGACACAGGCAACCACCCGUGGAAUGUCGGUUCCGGCAGUCAAAGAGACAACCACAUAAAUUUCUAUAAUGGAUAUUUAUUGCUCCUAGAAGAAGAGCACACAGGCGAGCAGACAAGCAGAGUGUACAGUAACCAGUGAGGUACUGUGGGGCCCUUCUCACCUCUAAGGCAUGGCACGCCUGAUGAAUGCUGGCAAAGUUGCUGCCACAGUGAGUUAUGUGUGCUAGCGAUGGUGGUCCUCCUUGUUUAGCAGCCAGGUGACUGCAAGCCAGCCAUAGGGCGGUAAGCACUCGCGGUGGACUUCCCAAUGGGUCUAGUCAACCGCUCUUGGAGUUGGCUGCGGGUGUUGCUGCUAGGAGACUCGCGUUUGCUGUGUGCAUUCCAGAUGUGCUGCCUUGAGAGAAUAACAUGGAAAGUUUCAAUGGACAGUGUGCUGAAGAGAAUAUUUGAACCCCAAGGGAUAGAGUAAAAGGAGAAUGGAGAAUAUUCUAUACAGCAGCAACAUAAUUUGUAUUCUUCACCAAAUGUUGGCAGAGUGCUCACAUUGAGGAUGAUGAGAUGGAAGGACCAUGUUGCAAGCAUGCUGGACAUAAGAAGUACGCAUGAAAUCAUGUUUAGAAACCUGGAAGGAAUAUACCAUUUUAGAGAAGUGGAUGUAAAUGGAAAAAUAUUAUUAAGAUGGAUGUAAAAGUAAUGGGGUUUAAUAGUGUGAACUAGGUUCUUCUGCUUCAGGAUAUUAUUCAUUCCCAGGUAGUUGUAAACUUGGUAACGAAUCUUUGGCUUUCAUAAAGGAGGGGAAUUUCUUUACUGGCUGUUUAACUAUCAGCUUCUCAAGAAGGACUCUGCUAUAUAGACUUAAUAUAUAAUCUCUUACUAAAGACAUGAAUAAUGGAAUGUAAAAUGUAAAUAAACAUUAUUGUUAAUAUUUUGUGAUGAACAAUAAAUUUAAUUAUUUUUU